UGAGCCAUUAGCUCAGUCGGUAGAGCAUCUGACUUUUAAUCAGAGGGUCGAAGGUUCGAGUCCUUCAUGGCUCAU
rnacentral:tRNA from 4 species